rnacentral:lncRNA from 1 species
UUAAAACCUUGAAAUCCAUUGCCCAGACAGCUGUUUUAGCUAAUGUAAAUUCAUAGACAAAUGUAAAUUCCUCAUGGGAGGCUUGGCGCAGCCUUGACAGGAGUAACCAGAUAAUCAGAUUGCAAAUCCACUGCGUGUAGAGAGCACUCUCAGCACAAGAGUCUCUUCACACCAAGCCGUUUGUUUGCUAUUUCAAGAUAAUGAAGCCCUAACAAGUAAUACUAGUAGAGGAUCUACCCCAUGCUUGAGAGAAAGGUUUAUGACUUGAUAACCAGUGGUUUUCUUUUGAGGAGAAGAUUGAUCAGCCUACUUCUGAAGUGGAUUUAGCAGACUAUCCUGGUAAUGGCCUGCCAAAACAAAAGUGACAACCACGGAGUCCGAGAAUGCAAGAACAUGUCUUCUACUGCCAAGGACCAGCUGACACCCACGGAGUCGCAAAAUGGGAACGGCUGUGUGCACCAAAAGGGAGGAAGUAUAUAAAAAGAUUUUUGUUUUCAGUCACUCUGUGACCUAAGUAACGUCCUAGUUUAAACAUUAAACUCAAGGUCAUUAACUUGUCACAGUGAUUUCUGAUUUCAAACUUUAUAGCAAAAUAAGAGUUAAGAAGGCAUGAAAAGGCUCAUUAAUUGAUAUGAUAAAGCUUGCUGAAAUGUAACCCUUUAUAUACUUCAUAUAUAUGUAGAGACAAUGAUUUUAAAGUUACAAAACUUCAAAAAUAUAUGCAUUGUUUAAGUCAGUACGUGUUUCACAUGUCAUACAUUA